UACGAAGGGGGCUAGCGUUGCUCGGAAUUACUGGGCGUAAAGGGCGCGUAGGCGGCUCAUACAGCCAGGCGUGAAAUUCCUGGGCUCAACCUGGGGGCUGCGCUUGAGACGUGUGGGCUUGAGGACAGGAGAGGCUCGUGGAAUUCCCAGUGUAGAGGUGAAAUUCGUAGAUAUUGGGAAGAACACCGGUGGCGAAGGCAAUCCCCUGGACCUGUACUGACGCUCAUGCACGAAAGCGUGGGGAGCAAACAGG
rnacentral:rRNA from 1 species